AGUGCUUGCACUAAAUGAAACUAGAUACAAGCGAGCGGCGGACGGGUGAGUAACACGUGGGUAACCUGCCCAAGAGACUGGGAUAACACCUGGAAACAGAUGCUAAUACCGGAUAACAACACUAGACGCAUGUCUAGAGUUUGAAAGAUGGUUCUGCUAUCACUCUUGGAUGGACCUGCGGUGCAUUAGCUAGUUGGUAAGGUAACGGCUUACCAAGGCAAUGAUGCAUAGCCGAGUUGAGAGACUGAUCGGCCACAUUGGGACUGAGACACGGCCCAAACUCCUACGGGAGGCAGCAGUAGGGAAUCUUCCACAAUGGACGAAAGUCUGAUGGAGCAACGCCGCGUGAGUGAAGAAGGGUUUCGGCUCGUAAAGCUCUGUUGGUAGUGAAGAAAGAUAGAGGUAGUAACUGGCCUUUAUUUGACGGUAAUUACUUAGAAAGUCACGGCUAACUACGUGCCAGCAGCCGCGGUAAUACGUAGGUGGCAAGCGUUGUCCGGAUUUAUUGGGCGUAAAGCGAGUGCAGGCGGUUCAAUAAGUCUGAUGUGAAAGCCUUCGGCUCAACCGGAGAAUUGCAUCAGAAACUGUUGAACUUGAGUGCAGAAGAGGAGAGUGGAACUCCAUGUGUAGCGGUGGAAUGCGUAGAUAUAUGGAAGAACACCAGUGGCGAAGGCGGCUCUCUGGUCUGCAACUGACGCUGAGGCUCGAAAGCAUGGGUAGCGAACAGGAUUAGAUACCCUGGUAGUCCAUGCCGUAAACGAUGAGUGCUAAGUGUUGGGAGGUUUCCGCCCUCUCAGUGCUGCAGCUAACGCAUUAAGCACUCCGCCUGGGGAGUACGACCGC
rnacentral:rRNA from 1 species